CCUACGGGGUGCAGCAGUGAGGAAUAUUGGUCAAUGGCCGGAAGGCUGAACCAGCCAUGCCGCGUGAAGGUCAGUGCCCUAUGGGCGUUAAACUUCUUUUGUGCGGGAGCAAUAAUGGUCACGUGUGGCCAGACGAGAGUACCGUACGACUAAGCAUCGGCUAACUCCGUGCCAGCAGCCGCGGUAAUACGGGGGAUGCAAGCGUUAUCCGGAUUUAUUGGGUUUAAAGGGUGCGUAGGCUGUGAGGUAAGUCAGCGGUGAAAUGCCGCCGCUCAACGGGGUGAAGUGCCAUUGAUACUGCCGUGCUGGCAUGCGGAUACCGUGGGAGGAAGGUGUGGUGUAGCGGUGAAAUGCAUAGAUAUCACACAGAACACCGAUUGCGAAGGCAUCUCACGAAGCCGCGAUUGACGCUGAUGCACGAAAGCGUGGGUAUCAAACAGGAUUAGAUACCCCAGUAGUC
rnacentral:rRNA from 1 species